CCUACGGGGGGCAGCAGUGGGGAAUAUUGCGCAAUGGCCGAAAGCCUGACGCAGCGACGCCGCGUGAGGGAUGAAGGUCUUCGGCUCGUAAACCUCUGUCAGCAGGGAAGCACGGUCACUGUGCUAAUCAGCAGUGAAUUGACGGUACCUGCAAAGGAAGCACAGGCUAACUCCGUGCCAGCAGCCGCGGUAAUACGGAGGGUGCGAGCGUUAAUCGGAAUUACUGGGCGUAAAGCGGUCGGAGGCGGUAUGUCAAGUCAAGGGUGAAAUCCCCGUGCUCAACGUGGGAACUGCCUUUGAAACUGGCAAACUGGAGUGGGUGAGAGGUAAGUGGAAUGCCAGGUGUAGGGGUGAAAUCCGUAGAUAUCUGGAGGAACAUCAGUGGCGAAGGCGACUAUCUGGCACAUAACUGACGCUGAGGAGCGAAAGCGUGGGUAGCAAACAGGAUUAGAUACCCGGGUAGUC
rnacentral:rRNA from 1 species